rnacentral:misc_RNA from 1 species
CAAAGUCAGUAGCUGCAUAUGUGAAUACUGCUUAGCGCAGCAUCUCCCUCUAUCUCUCUUACUCUGCUUCAAGCCCUAGAAAUCCCAGAAUCACAUCAUUAUCGAUCGGUUGCAGCUUUUUUAAAAUGAGUACUACCAAUACUUCGCCUCCACCAGAAGAUGCAUGGGUUCUUGCUUACCAAAAAUUGCUUCCUCAAUGGCGAUCGGUCACCCUCUCAUCUCACCAGUCAAGAAUACCAAUUUCAGUAUCUAGAGUUAAUCAAUUUGAUGCUGCAAGAUUAGACAUUGAAAUGUCAGCAAUGCUAAAAGAGCAAUUGGUCAAGGUCUUCUCUCUAAUGAAGCCAGGAAUGUUAUUUCAAUAUGAGCCAGAACUUGAUGCUUUCCUUGAGUUUCUUAUUUGGAGAUUCUCUAUUUGGGUAGAUAAGCCUACUCCAGGAAAUGCUCUGAUGAAUCUGAGGUAUAGAGAUGAUCAUGCAGUGGUACCACGAGAAAAAGUCAGAACAGGUUUGGAAGGACCUGGACUUACUAUGGCUCAGAAACUUUGGUAUUGCAUUGCCACUGUUGGUGGUCAGUAUAUCUGGGCUCGCUUGCAGACAUUCUCUGCUUUUCGUAGAUGGGGUGAUUCUGAACAGAGGCCACUAGCACGGCGAGCAUGGAUUUUGAUACAACGUAUUGAGGGACUUUAUAAGGCUGCUUCAUUUGGCAACCUACUCAUAUUUCUUUUCACAGGAAGGUUUAGGAACCUUGUUGAAAGAGUCUUAAGAGCAAGGCUUGUCUACGGACACCCUAACAUGAACCGAGCUGUUAGCUUUGAGUACAUGAAUCGCCAAUUAGUGUGGAAUGAAUUUUCGGAGAUGCUGUUGUUGCUUCUUCCUCUUCUUAACUCAUCAUCCAUAAAAAACUUACUUAGUCCAUUUUCGAAGGACAAAUCCUCUAGUUCUGCAGGAGAUGAUGGUACUUGUCCUGUUUGCCAGGCAAUUCCAACCAUUCCAUUCCUCGCCCUGCCCUGUCAACACAGGUACUGCUACUACUGCCUUAGAACACGAUGUGCUGCAUCUUCAUCAUUUCGGUGUCCUAGUUGCAGUGAACCAGUGGUAGCUAUGCAGCGGCAUGGUUUUUCAGCCAGUGAUACAAAUCCUAGUUAAGAACUGAUAAGCUCAAUAUAAAGUACUGUAAGAGAAAAAAAAAAAAGAAAAGAAAAGUAGUGC